UACGGAGGGGGCUAGCGUUGCUCGGAAUCACUGGGCGUAAAGCGCACGUAGGCGGCUUUUUAAGUCAGGGGUGAAAUCCUGGAGCCCAACUCCAGAACUGCCUUUGAUACUGGCGAUCUCGAGUCCGGGAGAGGUGAGUGGAACUGCGAGUGUAGAGGUGAAAUUCGUAGAUAUUCGCAAGAACACCAGUGGCGAAGGCGGCUCACUGGCCCGGUACUGACGCUGAGGUGCGAAAGCGUGGGGAGCAAACAGG
rnacentral:rRNA from 1 species